UAGCCUUGCUCAACUUCUACACCGGGAUAGGGGCCCUUCAGUGUAUGCAUGCAUUGUUUAGGAGUUUCAUGAGCCUUGGACCGAGGGGCACAUCUUUCUCAUUAUUUUUUCCUAUCAUUGCGUCAUUGCAUUUCGUCACAUCUCGUUGGUUCUUCAUCCUCUUCUUUAUUAUAUCCAUCGUUUGUUCCGCUUCAUCUUCUCCCACCCCGAGUGGUGAUCAUCCUCAGUUCAUUACAUGGAGGGUAGUCAUGUCAUUUUCCACUAUCUAUCCUACGGACGUUGAUCCAGGGAUCCUUGGCUUGAGAGGGUCACAUCAUUAGAGAGAGUUUGUGAUAUAUUGAUAUUUGAGAGCAUGUUUAUUCAUUUUUGAUCCCGUCUUUGGGUCUUUCUUGGUUUGC
rnacentral:lncRNA from 1 species